ACAACCGUACGUUUAAUCGCGAUUAAAUAUUUUAAUUGAGUGACAGCCCUACUCAGAAGACAUGACAGUGAAAAUAACAAAAUAAAUGCAAACAUGUACGGUAACUAACUAACAAAUAUACUAGCAAAAAAAACAAGAACGAUAUUAAAACACAAAUAACUAGAUUUAGGUCAACGACCGGUAAAAUAACGGCUAUGUUUCACUGUUAUUUUCACUGCCAUUGUCCUAAAUGUGUUAAUGUUUGCAUUUAUUUUGUUCUUUUCACUGUCAUGUCUUGUUGUCUCUUUAAGUGGGCAACAUAAGCAUGCCAUGUGACACAUGUCACAUGACCUCUUGAUGAGUUUUAAUUUGAGCACCUGUCCUUAAUGCACUCUGCACCCUGAUGAUGACUUGUUGAGUCCAAAUGCAUUGCUUAUCCAUGCACUAAUAAAGGAUUUUUACAACUUACAAUCAGAGUGCCUUGGAUGCUUUUCAGACUGCCAAUCAACACCAUGGACUUCCACUAAAAGUUCCGCCAAUCCACCAGAUGGAGACAGACUGUGUUUUCGAAUGGAAAGAGUAGGAGAUAGGCUGUUCGAUGCUGGAGGAAGGCAGACUGCAAAUGAAUACAGACGGCUGUAAUCGACUCAAACAUGAUCCAGAGACGGCUACUCCAAUAGCCGUCAGCAGCACUGAUAUGCCCUCAAAUACAACUUCACAAAACAGCAAAGCAAAAUAGGAUAUGUAUCCCUACAAGCUGCGGCGUAAAGACAGGAAGGCCCAUAUGAUGUAAUUGUCCAAAUAAGGGUCAGAACAGAGGGCGGAGGGGGCUCUUCCUCUAUAUGAUGUCAUGUCACUGCAGCAGUUUGCUGGCGAUAAGGAAAAGAGUGCAACUUCACAUCCACAAAUGUGGUUUGACAUCUCUUAUCAUACGUGGAAGGGUGAGAAUAACACAAACAUUGAGCAGAUAAGUUGUCUCUUCUGUUACAGUAAAUAUGUGUGACGCACAUGAGCUAUUUUUCUGCUUAUUAUUGAUGAUAUCAUGAUAGCAUUCUGAUUACUCCCAUGUAUGUAUCAGCAUGCUGUUUCGUGUGACUGCGCCUGAAGCUGUUUUCAUGACUAAAAUGCUCCCUGAGUAAACACGGACCGUAUCCGCCCCCCCUGCCCCCCCCCGGCUCCUGGCUCCUGGCUCCCUCAUUGAUCGGCCUGGACAAUUUAUUAGCCAUUGUGACAGUUUCCUGUACAGCCAGGGUCGACAGGGGAAACGGAGAGGUAUGCAGAUAAAGUGCUCAGAAACAUGGCGCACAAUGCCUAUUGUGUUUUAAUUGCAGGUUGAACUGUUACCUCCAGAAUGUUUGCCACAUACCUUUUAGCCUGUGUGAGUGUUCGCUUGUUAUUCCACAUACGUGUCCUGCUGCCCGAUCUAUUCCCCCAAAGCAUUGACUAAUCGCAUAACUUCUGGAAAAUCACAAGCGUAAGGUUGAAAUGUUCAAAAACAAAAGGAAAUACCAGUGAAUUCCACAAUAAAGCAAUGAAACCUUUAA